rnacentral:rRNA from 1 species
GUGUCAGCAGCCGCGGUAAUACGAAGGGGGCUAGCGUUGUUCGGAAUUACUGGGCGUAAAGCGCGCGCAGGCGGUCUUCCAAGUCAGUGGUGAAAGCCCGGAGCUCAACUCCGGAACUGCCAUUGAAACUGUUAGACUUGAGGAUGAGAGAGGUGAGUGGAAUUCCCAGUGUAGAGGUGAAAUUCGUAGAUAUUGGGAAGAACACCGGUGGCGAAGGCGGCUCACUGGCUCAUUACUGACGCUCAGGCGCGAUAGCGUGGGGAUCAAACAGGAUUAGAUACCCUGGUAGUCC